rnacentral:snRNA from 1 species
UGAUCGGCAUUUUAUAGAACUAUAAAAUUCUAUAUGGUCAGGGUUGGGUCAGCUGAUCUGGUUGGCUUAGGCAGGUGUCCACUUCCUCCCUCAUGGCUCCAUGUGUGUCCCUGCCGAAGAUACACACCUGGUUUUAGCGGGCAACCUUCCCUGAUAGAGAUGUACCAUUCAUUGGUCAAGGGUAUACAGUAGCUGCACUCCCUGCUAGAACCUCUAAACAAGUUCAAGGUCCAUUUGUAGGAGAACAUAGGGUAGUCAAGCUUCCAAGACUGCAGACACAUCCAAGUGAGGCACUGCAUGGGGCGGUCGGCAAUUCUAU